CCUACGGGAGGCAGCAGUGGGGAAUAUUGGACAAUGGGCGAAAGCCUGAUCCAGCAAUGCCGCGUGAGUGAUGAAGGCCUUAGGGUUGUAAAGCUCUUUUACCCGGGAUGAUAAUGACAGUACCGGGAGAAUAAGCCCCGGCUAACUCCGUGCCAGCAGCCGCGGUAAUACGGAGGGGGCUAGCGUUGUUCGGAAUUACUGGGCGUAAAGCGCACGUAGGCGGUUAUUCAAGUCAGAGGUGAAAGCCUGGAGCUCAACUCCAGAACUGCCUUUGAAACUAGAUAACUAGAAUCAUGGAGAGGUGAGUGGAAUUCCGAGUGUAGAGGUGAAAUUCGUAGAUAUUCGGAAGAACACCAGUGGCGAAGGCGGCUCACUGGACAUGUAUUGACGCUGAGGUGCGAAAGCGUGGGGAGCAAACAGGGUAUUAGACUACCCGUGGUACGUCCACGACCGUAAACGAUGAUAACUAGUUGGUCGGGGUCUCUUAGAGUCGUUCGGUCGACGCGACGACGUACGACUAUUAAGUUACUCCGUCCGGUCGGGUAGGUACGGUCGACGAAGUAAGUUAAACGUAACGAAAGGUAAGUUAGUACGGUUCGUUGUAGUUACGUUCGACCGACGGCGACGACGGAGGGAGGAGG
rnacentral:rRNA from 1 species